rnacentral:rRNA from 1 species
UAUGAACGCUGGCGGCGUGCCUAAUACAUGCAAGUCGAGCGGUAACACUUCGGGUGACGAGCGGCGGACGGCUGAGUAACGCGUAGGAACGUACCCCAAAGUGAGGGAUAACUCCGAGAAAUCGGGGCUAAUACCGCAUGUGAUCUUCGGAUUAAAGCUUUAUGCGCUUUGGGAACGGCCUGCGUAUGAUUAGGUUGUUGGUGAGGUAAUGGCUCACCAAGCCUACGAUCAUUAGCUGGUCUGAGAGGAUGAUCAGCCAGACUGGGACUGAGACACGGCCCAGACUCCUACGGGAGGCAGCAGUAGGGAAUUUUCCACAAUGGGCGAAAGCCUGAUGGAGCAACACCGCGUGCAGGAUGAAGGCCUUAGGGUUGUAAACUGCUUUUAUAUGUGACGAUUAUGACGGUAGCAUAUGAAUAAGGAUCGGCUAACUCCGUGCCAGCCGCCGCAGUAA